rnacentral:rRNA from 1 species
GAUGAACGCUGGCGGCGUGCCUAAUACAUGCAAGUCGAGCGAACAGACGAGGAGCUUGCUCCUCUGACGUUAGCGGCGGACGGGUGAGUAACACGUGGAUAACCUACCUAUAAGACUGGGAUAACUUCGGGAAACCGGAGCUAAUACCGGAUAACAUGUUGAACCGCAUGGUUCAACAGUGAAAGACGGUCUUGCUGUCACUUAUAGAUGGAUCCGCGCCGCAUUAGCUAGUUGGUAAGGUAACGGCUUACCAAGGCAACGAUGCGCAGCCGACCUGAGAGGGUGAUCGGCCACACUGGAACUGAGACACGGUCCAGACUCCUACGGGAGGCAGCAGUAGGGAAUCUUCCGCAAUGGGCGAAAGCCUGACGGAGCAACGCCGCGUGAGUGAUGAAGGUCUUCGGAUCGUAAAACUCUGUUAUUAGGGAAGAACAAAUGUGUAAGUAACUAUGCACGUCUUGACGGUACCUAAUCAGAAAGCCACGGCUAACUACGUG